GGAAAGGCUUUGGAUCAGUGGUAGAACAUUUGCCUUGCUUGCAGAAGGUCCCAGGUUUAAUCCCCAGUAUCUCCA